GGCGUGGCACCUUGCUCAGGCUUGCUGGCCUCCCCGUGGACGGCAAUGGUGCCAAGAUAUUUUUCUGCCAUCCAGGGACCUAGUUUGCUGCCUGUUUAGACUCCAGGCAAUGUCAUAGCCAGGUUGCACAGGUAUGGAUGUUUUAUGCUCUUCAGCAGGUUGUGAUUCCUUCCGAGGGCCCUCUGUGGUGGCCAGCCCCGGUAAGAGUCUUAGAAAUGGCCCCGAGGUGCCAGGCUGUCUGUAAUUCACGACGGCCUCAGGCUUCUGCCCAUGUGGAGUUGAGCCCACGCCAGCGACUCUGGAAUGCUGGGUGGUAUUUCUGCUCCCUGGGAGUUUUGAGUGUGCAGCUUCUCUUGGGAGACCUCAGGCUCCUUGGGAAACCGCCUCAUGGGAGCUAUUGAGACAGGAAGCACGGAUGCAGGGUCUGUGACUCCACACCGGUCUGGGGGACUGUUGAGUAGUACAGUGUGUCCCCUGAAGACAGGUGGUCCGAGACUGGCAGCCAGUCAGAGAAAGAGGCACAGGAACGAAUGGUCGAGGACAGAGAAAGGGACAGAGAAAGAGACGGGGCCAAACAGAGACAAAGACAAAGCCAAAGAGACAGAGAUUGAGAAA
rnacentral:lncRNA from 1 species